rnacentral:tRNA from 1 species
GCCCGGGUGGCUCAGUGGGUGAAGCGUCCGACUUCGGCUCAGGUCAUGAUCUCGCAGUCUGUGAGUUCAAGCCCCGCCUCGGGCU